rnacentral:rRNA from 1 species
UCAUGCCUACGGGAGGCAGCAGUGAGGAAUAUUGGUCAAUGGGCGGGAGCCUGAACCAGCCCAGCCGCGUGAGGGAAGAAGGAACAGCGUAUCGUAAACCUCUUUUGUCAGGGAACAAAGGCGGGGACUAGUCCCCGGAUGAGGGUACCUGAAGAAAAAGCAUCGGCUAACUCCGUGCCAGCAGCCGCGGUAAUACGGAGGAUGCGAGCGUUAUCCGGAUUUAUUGGGUUUAAAGGGUGCGCAGGCGGCCUGUUCAGUCAGCGGCAAAAGCCCGGGGCUCAAC